AAACUCUUCAGCACCAUAGCUGGCACCUUAGCACAUGUUCAAUAAGCAUGUGUUCUAUGAUGAUUACGACCACAACAGAACCUGAGGACGCGUUGGGAGGGCAGUGCCUCCCUGACAGAGCAGCUCAACACCGUGGGAGCGCGGGAACCUCGAAUUCAGAAGAACCUGGCCCAUAGAAGGAAGUGUUUCAGAAGAUUCUGGUGAGGCAUGGAGGAACAGCAGCACUGGAAUGUGGAUCAGAAUGCACAUGCAGUCCCUCAAGCUGAAAUCACUAUCCCAUCCUUCAGAGUUAAGGAAUCGUGACAACAGGACUGUUCCAGGGAGCGCUCAGAUGAACUCCCCAACCUCUACAAUCCCACAGCACACACUGCUGCCACCACCCACUCCACUGACCAGCUGGAAUGGCAUUAGGCAGGGGUAGGACAGAGGUCUGAAGUGCGAGAGGUAAGGAAGGAGGUCUCAGUGCAGACCAGGGAUGCUCUGCGGAGCAGUGGGUGCCAUCCCUGGCCCAGAACAGCUCACUUACCGGGAAUGGGAGACAAAGUCAUACACGGGGAUCUGGACUGUUUUCCCUUCAGUGAUUUCUUUGAGUGUUUUGAGAAUGAGUUCAUUGUCAAAGGCAUCUGAAAAAUACCAAAUUGUUAAAAUGUUUCUUAAUUUUAAAAUAGGAUCUCCUAUAAUCAUACACAAGGCAUCCUCAUAAACAUGUAUAUGGGCACAUCACACUUUAAAGGUAAUCAUACUGCUCCCUAAAAAGCUGGAUUUUUACCCAAAGCAGAAUGGAUGCUCCCUGUAUCUCAAAAUAGGGUGUAUAAAUGAGUUCUGACAAAUAGAUUUCUUUUUUCUCUCCUUUGACAUUCCAUCCCUGACUUCAGUCAGUUCUUUCCCCUCUCCAAGUUUAGCUGUUAUCAUCCUAGGAUUGGCACAUGCUAAACUGACCUGGAAAGCAAACCCAUGACUGGGGGAGUACACACAAUAGGCACCAUGCCCAGGUUUGCUUCUAACAAUUAUAAGAAACCCAAGCCAGCUAAAGGAGCAGUGUGCUGAUCUAGGG
rnacentral:lncRNA from 1 species